rfam:Blastocystis hominis, Singapore isolate B (sub-type 7) whole genome shotgun sequence assembly, scaffold_5
UCCCAUAUAGUCUAAUAGGUUAGGAUAGCAGGCUCUCACCCUGCCGAUCCGGGUUCGAUUCCCGGUGUGGGAA